rnacentral:rRNA from 1 species
UACGUAGGGUGCAAGCGUUAAUCGGAAUUACUGGGCGUAAAGCGUGCGCAGGCGGUUAUGCAAGACAGAUGUGAAAUCCCCGGGCUCAACCUGGGAACUGCAUUUGUGACUGCAUGGCUGGAGUGCGGCAGAGGGGGAUGGAAUUCCGCGUGUAGCAGUGAAAUGCGUAGAUAUGCGGAGGAACACCGAUGGCGAAGGCAAUCCCCGUGGGCCUGCACUGACGCUCAUGCACGAAAGCGUGGGGAGCAA